AAGCUCACUUUGGCAACAUGCAUACUAAAAUGUAAACGAUACAGAAGAUUAACAUGGCCCCUGUGUAAUGAUGACACGCAAAUUCAUGAAGUGUUCUACUUUAAA